CUACGGGAGGCUGCAGUCGAGAAUCUUUCACAAUGGGGGAAACCCUGAUGAAGCGACGCUGCGUGCGGGAUGAAGGCCUUCGGGUUGUAAACCGCUUUUGUAGGGGAAAAAUACGUCUUGUACGUAUGAUGGUACCCUUUCGAAUAAGAGGUUGCUAACUCUGUGCCAGCAGCAGCGGUAAUACAGAGACCUCGAGCGUUAUCCGGAUUUAUUGGGCGUAAAGGGUCCGUAGGGGGUUUGUCAAGUUCCAAGUUAAAUCUUAAGGCUCAACCUUAAGCUUGCUUGGAAAACUGUUUAACUAGAGUGUGUCAGAGGUACAUGGAACUCAUGGUGUAGGAGUGAAAUCCGUUGAUAUCAUGGGGAACACCAAAGGCGAAGGCAUUGUACUGGGGCAUCACUGACCCUGAGGGACGAAAGCGUGGGUAGCGAAAAGGAUUAGAUACCCUGGUAGUC
rnacentral:rRNA from 1 species